rnacentral:rRNA from 1 species
AUGCUAAUAAAAGCUCGUUGCCAGAAGGGUCAAGAAAAAACGGCAGGUCACUGGACAUUGUGGGGAAAACAAGACAACAACACAACACAAAGCGAAAGGAUUUCCAGCUCUAACUCUACCGUGUUCUUCAACUUGAACAGUUUGGGCAUCUUCAGUAGGAAUGCGCACACAAAUUUCAAAAGGAAUGGAGGUCCAGUACUGCAGAAUGUCAAGGGACUAUACAUUUUCACAAAAAGCGAACUAAGAAAAAUCACCAACAACAACUCAGAGUUUCUUUCGGUCGGAAGCUUUGGUAAAGUCUGCAAAGGAACCCUUCCUGAGAACACCGCAGUGGCAGUUAUGUCCUCUGUCAAGGUAACUGAAGCUUUAAAGGAGCAGUUUAUCGAGCAAAUAGAGAUCCAGACACAUAUGAUGCACGUGAAUAUUCUCAACCUCAUCGGUUGCUGCCUGGAGGUGGAUGUUCCAAUGUUGGUGUAUGAGUUUGCUGGCAAAGGAAGUCUUCAAGACAUUCUUCAUGGCAACAGCAGAAACCAAAAGCUCCCCUUAGACCUGCGUCUGCAUAUUGCAAUUGGAACUGCACAAGGCUUAACAUACAUGCACUCCUAUGGAAAUCAAGCCAUACGGCACGGUGAUGUCAAGCCGGACAACAUACUUCUGGAUGACAAGUUCGUACCGAAAAUCUCAGAUUUCGGGUUAUGGAAGCUGCUUAGAGAGGAAUAUUAUUUCGGCAAGAUUGUAGCUGGGGACAUGGCUUACGUUGACCCAGUGUUCCUUAAAACCGGGCAACUGACAGAAAAAAGCGACGUCUACAGCUUUGGGGCGAUUCUCUUAGAACUCAUUACCAGGAAGCCAAGUGUAUACGACGAAUACUGUAGCCUCAUUUUGGAGUUCCGUAAAGUUUGUGAGAAAGAAAAGAGCGGUAGGGCGAUGAUGGACAAGGAGAUCGCAACUGAAGAAGAAGAUAUCUAUUGCCUGGAAGAAAUUGGCAAGCUGGCAAUUGAGUGCCUAAAAGAAGAUGUAGAAGAUCGGCCCGACAUGGCGGCGGUAGUUGAGCGACUUGUAAUGCUUAAAAAGGAUAGGAUGCUUGAGAGUUAG